GGAAUACCCGCUGAACUUAAGC
rnacentral:rRNA from 1 species